rnacentral:rRNA from 1 species
CAAUAGCGUAUAUUUAAGUUGCUGCAGUUAAAAAGCUCGUAGUUGGAUUUCGGGUGGGAAUGGCCGGUCCGCCGUUUCGGUGUGCACUUGCUACGCCCACCUUGCUGCCGGGGACGUGCUCUUGAGUUCACGCUCGGGACACGGAGUCGGCGAGGUUACUUUGAGUAAAUUAGAGUGUUCAAAGCAGGCCUACGCUCUGAAUACAUUAGCAUGGAAUAACACGAUAGGACUCUGGCCUAUCUUGUUGGUCUGUAGGACCGGAGUAAUGAUUAAGAGGGACAGUCGGGGGCAUUCGUAUUUCAUUGUCAGAGGUGAAAUUCUUGGAUUUAUGAAAGGCGAACUACUGCGAAAGCAUUUGCCAAGGAUGUUUUCAUUGA